UCCUCUCUUUUCAGAUUCUUC
rnacentral:piRNA from 1 species